GGCAGGAUCCAGAGUCAUAUUUGUGUCUAAAGUGUAGGAUAUAAUGAUGCCUUGAACCUAAUUGUCCUGCUUGACUACAUGCAUUUAUAUCCACACAUUUAAUGGAUAUAAUAGCUUAUUUACCAGUUUUUAAUGAGCUCAUUUCUACUCAGCUCCAGUCCUUGCAAGGGUGAUGUAUGGGGACAACAGAAUCAGUAUUUCUUCUACUGAACAAACACAGGUAGUGUAGAAAGGUGCUGAGCUUCUGUAGGUAGAAGUACAUUGAAGAUCCUCAUGAUCCAGAAGCAUGAAGAUAAGCUUGAAAGGCACAUUUAAAAGGCUGAUUGUCAAGUUAAGCUCUCAAAACAUCUCUCUCAUUUUUUUUUUGUAUCUGAGGAGUACCAUUUCUUCCAGGAAUGUCUCUGUUGCUUCAUUACUUCUACGUUUGCAUUUCUGGAUUACUCUGUGGAGAAACCAGGCCAUGGUGUGCUUCUUCAUUAAUGAGAUUCACAAGCUGUCAUCACUGAAUUGCAGUACAGCUGCUCAAGAAGGAAUCAAAUGAAGGUAACUGGAUUUUUUUUUUUGGUUCGUUGGUUAGGGGUUUUGUUUCUUUAUUUGUUUGGUUUGGUUUUUGGUCUGUGGAGGCUUUAGGAUUAUUGUUGUCAUUUAAACCUUUAUCCAUUAGUAUU
rnacentral:lncRNA from 1 species